UGUGGGAGGGGGCUUGCUCCCGAUAGCCGUGUGACAGUCAGCUUAUCUGUAACUGUUCCACCGCCAUCGGGAGCAAGCCCCCUCCCACA
rnacentral:misc_RNA from 1 species